UCGCACUGAAAAUAAAAAAGGAAGAGUAUGUAAGGUGUCUUAGAGCAGCAGCACCCACCCUGAGCUCCUGGGAAAUCCAGAGGUUCCUCUGGAGGCAAAGGAGGUGGACACGCUGUGCUCCUGCCAGUCUCCCCAUGGAAGAGGUGCUGAUGCCACCACUCCUGUAGGCUGCCAGGAAGACUCUGAGCCUUGUUCAUUCACUGCAGCUCAGGUGAAGUCUGAUAGCAACAGCCUUGUCUUGGAGGUUGUGCCAGGUGAGAGGGCAGCCUUUGCCCACCCUAUUCCUGUGCAUGUGGUUGGACUGUACAGUACCCCUACCAACACUAAAAUCAUCACUUAUCAAAUACUAACAGCUAAAAAAAACUAACCAGAAUUGACAUUUCCAAGGCAGGUUCCCAGGCUGCAGCUCAAGCUGUCAGUCAGCUGCCUGGUUCCUAAAUCUGUGCACAAUCCAAGAUGAAAGCUACUGCUGCUGCAAAAGGAACAACAGCACCUGAGCAAGUCUGGCCUGGAGUUCUUCACCACAGGACCUUUAAGAACCUGAAAGACAGUUUGGUAUGGUUAAUUCAAGCUGAAAAGUUUCCCCUCAAAGUUAAGGAUCCAAAACAUGAAGUUCAAAUUCACCUUUUCAACACUCCCAGGUUC